AUGCGUCUUCCGCGCCUGGGCUUCAGCCCAUCUAGCAUGCAUGUUCUGCGUCUGGGCUGGAUGCAGCUGUGGCGGCCCAUGCGUGGGGUGUUCAGGCGGUCAACGCCGCAUAACCGUGCCUCCCGAUCCCACCUCCAGCCCGCCGCCACCUCCCGGCAUGCCCCGCCCCACCUCAGCGCGCGCAGCCGGCCGCCGCCGCGCGCCGCCACCGCCGCCACCGCCGACCCCGCCGGCACGCCUACCCCUAUCUCUGGAUCGAGGCGGGUCAACGAGCGUGUGGGGCGGCAGGCGGCUCUCCGGCUCGACCCGAUCGGAUCCGAUCGAGUGAGGCCUGCAUAG
rnacentral:rRNA from 1 species